rnacentral:rRNA from 1 species
UAGGGAAUUUUCGGCAAUGAGGGGAACCUUGACCGAGCAACGCCGCGUGAACGAGGAAGGUCUUUGGAUCGCAGAGUUCUGUUGUAAGGGAAGAACACUAUAGAUAGGGAAUGAUCUAUAGCUGACGGUACCUUGCCAGAAAGCCACGGCUAACUACGUGCCAGCAGCCGCGGUAAUACGUAGGUGGCGAGCGUUAUCCGGAAUCAUUGGGCGUAAAGGGUGCGUAGGCGGCAGAUUAAGUUUGUGGUGAAAGAGCAAGGCUCAACCUUGUUAAGCCACAAAAACUGGUCAGCUAGAGUGCAGUAGAGGCAAGUGGAAUUCCAUGUGUAGCGGUAAAAUGUGUAGAUAUAUGGAGGAACACCGGUGGCGAAGGCGGCUUGCUGGGCUGUAACUGACGCUGAGGCACGAAAGCGUGGGGAGCAAAUAGG